UCUCCUGUAUUCAUGGUAAGGAAAUUACUCCUAAAAACCUAGUUGUGUGGUCGUCGUACAAAUACAUACAGAAACCUCAUAAAGAAGUUGAUCUUCUUCUUCCUCACAAAGAAAACGAUUCUUCUCUGCGUGUGUGUCACUAGCAACAACAAGAAAAUCGAGUUCGUGUUCUGUUUUUUUUCUUGAAUCGAAGUGCUGAAAAGAAUUACCAAGAAAAGGGCUAUCUUUCUUCUCUGCGUUUCAGGUUUUUCCUCCACCUCCAAUGUCUCCCUCUUCCACCUCCAACGCCACCCUCUUCCACCUCUAGUGUUUUGAACUCGAAUUCGGAUGAUUUCAAAAACCCUAAAGAAACAACUCUAACCAUCUCUUCUGUAUUGUGAUUCUCUAUAUUUUUUUUACCCCUUUCUGAUUUGCGAGUUCAAAUUUCAAAGAGACAAAGACAUUGGUGGUGACCCUUCUGCCCAUGACAUCGCCACUCUUUUAGCAGGUAUAAAAUACAACCUAUCCUUCUUCCCUGAGUUCCAAUUAAUGGUCCAUUUGUGAACCUUAGUAUCAGCGAUGCUUUUGUUUGGCAUCUCUAAUAUGGUGAGUAGAUGUUUAUUUUUUAGGACCUUUUUUCUAUCUUGAUGCAUCUUCAAGAUUAAUAUUGGUCAAUAUUUCAUAAUUUUUUUAUUAUUCUUGGCUCCACCUAAUGCAAUUUUAGUUUUAUCUGUCAAUUUCUUUUAAUAUUCAUCUUUUUUUGCAUGAUUUCUACUUGUAACCCUCUUAUGUAUUUCUUAUUUCUGGUACCUUGUGUUGAAUGUCUGGUGAGGAUUCAAUAAAGAAAAGAAAACAGUACAUCCUUACGUCACCCCCCUUAUAUGACAAACUCUCAUCUUUCACUUCCCCUAAUGCUUUGUCGCUUUUCUCAACACCACACCACUAGAUUUUUACUUCAGGAAAUAACGUUCAUAAUGAUGCCAUCGUAACCCCUAUGGAAACAUAAAUUAAGUUUUGAUUAUCAGAGCCUUAUUGGGGAAUGCUUAUCAGGUGGCCAAAAUUUUGUUUGAACUCAUGUCAUCAAGUCAGAUAUGGCAGAAGAAGUUCCCGCUAUGUCUAUUUCAUUGAAACAGAGAGAUAUCGAGGCAAAACAAGGUAUACAUGCACCUUAAUCAAGUGUAUACCAAUUUAAUUAUGAUCUUAGGGGCUGUUUGGCAAGAUCUGGAUUUUUAAGGUUUAAAUUUCUAAGAGGGUCUGAAUUUUUAAGAUCUGAAUUUUUAAAUGUUGUUUGGUUGGAACCUCUGAAUUGUUGUGUUGAAUGAUAAAAAUGACCAUUUUACCA